GGAAUGACUAAAUGACCUAAAUAUACCUGUAGGCAGCACGACACCUUUAUGUACCUGAGACAUUGUAAUCCCAAAAGACUGCAAUACAAACAAGGCAUGUGUUUGGGACCAGGUAUACCAAGAAUGUACUACUACACCUGUGUUACCUGAAAGGAUUCAUGCCAGUGUCUACUUCCCCUGUCUGGGUCUCUACC